GGUGGCGGUGGCGGGGGCG
rnacentral:misc_RNA from 1 species